rnacentral:rRNA from 1 species
CCUACGGGCGGCUGCAGUGGGGAAUAUUGGACAAUGGGCGAAAGCCUGAUCCAGCCAUGCCGCGUGUGUGAAGAAGGCCUUCGGGUUGUAAAGCACUUUCAGUGGGGAAGAAAGCCUUGGGGCUAAUACCCUCGAGGAAGGACAUCACCCACAGAAGAAGCACCGGCUAACUCCGUGCCAGCAGCCGCGGUAAUACGGAGGGUGCGAGCGUUAAUCGGAAUUACUGGGCGGAAAGCGCGCGUAGGCGGUCUGAUAAGCCGGUUGUGAAAGCCCCGGGCUCAACCUGGGAACGGCAUCCGGAACUGUCAGGCUAGAGUGCAGGAGAGGAAGGUAGAAUUCCCGGUGUAGCGGUGAAAUGCGUAGAGAUCGGGAGGAAUACCAGUGGCGAAGGCGGCCUUCUGGACUGACACUGACGCUGAGGUGCGAAAGCGUGGGUAGCAAACAGGAUUAGAUACCCCAGUAGUC